rnacentral:rRNA from 1 species
GUUAUAUGGUCAAGAAGAGAAGCGCAAACGGUGGAUGCCUUGGCAGUAAGAGGCGAAGAAGGACGUGGAAUCCUGCGAAAAGCUAUGGGGAGCUGGAAACGAGCGUUGAGCCAUAGAUGUCCGAAUGGGGGAACCCGGCUGCAGUAAUGCGGUCAUUUGCAUUUGAAUACAUAGGAUGCAAAGGCGAACUCGGGGAACUGAAACAUCUAAGUACCCGAAGGAAAAGAAAUCAAGAGAGAUUCUCCAAGUAGCGGCGAGCGAACGGGGAGGAGCCUGGCGUGAUUUAUUAUUGAAUUGAGUAGAACAACUUGGGAAGGUUGGCCAUAGAGGGUGAAAGCCCCGUAUACGAAGGUUUGAUGAGGAACUAGGCACGCGAACAAGUAGGCCGGGACACGUGAAAUCCUGGUUGAAGAUGGGUGGACCAUCAUCCAAGGCUAAAUACUACUUACUGACCGAUAGUGAACCAGUACCGUGAGGGAAAGGUGAAAAGAACCCCGGAGAGGGGAGUGAAAUAGAAUCUGAAACCGUUUGCGUACAAGCAGUGGGAGCAUGGUUUAGGCUGUGUGACUGCGUACCUUUUGUAUAAUGGGUCAGCGAGUUACUUUCAGUGGCGAGGUUAACUGCAUAAGGGAGCCGUAGAGAAAUCGAGUCUGAAUAGGGCGAUAGUCGCUGGGAGUAGACCCGAAACCGGGCGAUCUAGCCAUGUGCAGGAUGAAGGUUGGGUAACACCAACUGGAGGUCCGAACCGGGUAAUGUUGAAAAAUUAUCGGAUGACGUGUGGCUAGGAGUGAAAGGCUAAUCAAGCCCGGAGAUAGCUGGUUCUCCCCGAAAGCUAUUUAGGUAGCGCCUCGUGAAUGAUUACUGGGGGUAGAGCACUGUUUCGGCUAGGGGGCUGUCAUGGCUUACCAAACCGAUGCAAACUCCGAAUACCGGCUAAUUGGAUCACGGGAGACACACGGCGGGUGCUAACGUCCGUCGUGGAGAGGGAAACAACCCAGACCGCCAGCUAAGGUCCCCAAGUACUAGUUAAGUGGGAAACGAUGUGGGAAGGCAUAGACAGCCAGGAGGUUGGCUUAGAAGCAGCCACCCUUUAAAGAAAGCGUAAUAGCUCACUGGUCGAGUCGGCCUGCGCGGAAGAUGUAACGGGGCUAAAACUAGUCACCGAAGCUGCGGAUGUGCGCGAAGGCGCACGUGGUAGGGGAGCGUUCUGUAGGCUGAUGAAGGUGCAUUGAGAGGUGUGCUGGAGGUAUCAGAAGUGCGAAUGCUGACAUGAGUAACGAUAAUGUGGGUGAAAAGCCCACACGCCGGAAGUCCCAGGUUUCCUGCACGACGUUAAUCGGAGCAGGGUGAGUCGGCCCCUAAGGCGAGGCUGAAGAGCGUAGUCGAUGGGAACCAGGUUAAUAUUCCUGGACUUUUUAUAAGUGGUGAAGUGGGGACGAAGAAGGCUAGGUGAGCCAGGCGUUGGUUGUCCUGGUACUUGCAUGUAGGGGGGAAGACUUGGCAAAUCCGGUUUUCCGAUACUCUGAGGUGCGAAGUGGUUCUGACCUUUUGGUACAGAGAAGUCAUUGAUGCCCGGCUUCCAGGAAAAGCUGCUAGCCAU